CCCAAACUUACCCACCGUCGCCUAUCCAACUACCCGAGAUCAGCGUUGCUUAACUUCGCCUGAUUUGUGACCUCUGCGUUUUUCAUGUGACCACGUGCCAUAAAAAAGAGUUUGUACAACGGGAAGGACAAACAGGGGCAAACACGUGUGUGGGAUUUGAAUCAAGCUUGCAAGCAAAGGACUGUCAAUUUGCUUGAACGUCGUCUCCCUUUAAUAAACACACCUUGCGAAAAACGAAGUUGAAGACACGGGUGUUAC